rnacentral:rRNA from 1 species
UACAGAGGUGGCAAGCGUUGCUCGGUAUCACUGGGCUUAAAGGGCGCGUAGGCGGUGUGGUACGGUUUCGGUGAAAUCCCUCGGCCCAACCGAGGAACAGCCGGAGCUACGGCCACACUAGACGGCAUCAGGGGACAGUGGAACUCCCGGUGGAGCGGUGAAAUGCGUAGAUAUCGGGAGGAACGCCGGUGGCGAAAGCGACUGUCUGGGGUGCCUGUGACGCUGAGGC